AUGCAACAGUAGUGAAACGAAUGAUUGCAUUCUCCCCAAACUACGACGCAAUCUUGUCGGCUAUCGUCCUUUUUGCUUUCCGCUUGACACCGGAGACACGCAUCUGAAAAUGAGAAAAAAGGAAAGAAGGGUGAUUAAGCGAUAAUGCAGACGUAGACAACGUAAGUAAGUAUUUAAUUGGAUAACAUAUAAAGCAACGCGUACACUGUAACAGUAAAGUUGUAGAAUCUGUUGAAUAACGAGAAUAUAACUUUUAGGAAGUUUUUAGCGAUGAAUCGUUUGUAAAAACCUAAAAUAUACUCUUCGUGUAAGAGAAGUUUAUUCGCCAACCAGCCGACGAUCGACAAGUAUCAUCGAUAUCGUCUCGGUUGGCCUCUGUUGUCUCGGGUAUACGAAGUACCAGAGUAUAAUAUUUUUAGCUGGAAAAAGUCAAAGUAAGCCGAGUCGACGAUCGGCGAUAUACGACGAAUGUUGAAACGUUUACGAUGGGAGUUACACGACACGACGGUUCUGAAGAAACGAUAGUUGGUCGAUUAAUCUUCGACAACGAUUCUCAAGAACUACUUCUCGUUGACCCACACCGGGGGAUCCUGACAAACGUAUCAGUCGUGCCCCCGGGUCUUAGGCGAGCAGGGUAUCGGGCCAAUUAACUCUGACGAACGGGACAACGACAGGCGUUCGUGCAUCAGCCACCGUGCUUAGAGGCUUCUUCUGGAUCGUUCUUUCCUUCCCUCUUAUUUUCCAUCUACUUUCUUAUUGUCACCAACCACGUCAAUCAACACGCGACCUAACCAAACGUAUCUUUUUAUACAGUUGCCGGGAAUUGACCCGUUUCGGGACAACAAUCCAACUAACUUUACUCGUCUGCUCUUCGGUUAACCCAGAUCGUCGGCAAUUAUUGAUAAACAACGGUAACUUUCCUCAAAGCGUAAUUUAUCGAUGCAACGGAAUUAAGAUUAGAUCCAAACUUCGACCAACGAGUAAUCGUAUUCGGUUGGUAACAGGAGAGAAUAAUUCAUCGUACUCCGUUUUUAGACUCGGAAAGGUAAGGAUCGGCGGAUAUUAACGCCGAUGAUAUUGCUGAUAGUCAACGAGCUAUGCCUCUAAUCUGACUGCAUCCAUCACUUCGAUUCUCUAACGAGUUUCUCGAACGUUCGAAGAACGCGCCCUAUCGAUGAUAUCUUCUCGUGAGAUCCGACAGCCAAUAAAGAUCGAUCGAUAUUGCGUACGCCGAUCGUUUAAUUAAUUCAUUCGGUUGAUAAACGUCGUCCGGACCGUCAAAACAAACGUGAAAUUAACAUUAAUUAGGUAUAUCGAAAUGUUCGAGUCAGUCAUGCGGAGGAUUGACGAUCGAGCAAUGUACAUAUGU